UGCCCAAUUCUAUGUAAAGUGCUUUCGAAGAGUCGAGUUGUUUGGGAAUGCAGCUCUAAGUGGGUGGUAAAUUCCAUCUAAAGCUAAAUAUUGGCGAGAGACCGAUAGCGAACAAGUACAGUGAUGGAAAGAUGAAAAGAACUUUGAAAAGAGAGUGAAAAAGUACGUGAAAUUGUUGAAAGGGAAGGGCUUGAGAUCAGACUUGGUAUUUUGCGAUCCUUUCCUUCUUGGUUGGGUUCUCCGCAGCUUACUGGGCCAGCAUCGGUUUGGAUGGUAGGAUAAUGAUUAAGGAAUGUGGCUCUACUUCGGUGGAGUGUUAUAUCCUUGGUUGAUACUGCCUGUCUAGACCGAGGACUGCGUCUUUGACUAGGAUGCUGGCAUAAUGAUCUUAAGCCACCCGUCUUGAAACACGGACCAAGGAGUCUAACGUCUAUGCGAGUGUUUGGGUGUAAAACCCGUACGCGUAAUGAAAGUGAACGUAGGUGAGAGCUCUUAAGAGUGCAUCAUCGACCGAUCCUGAUGUCUUCGGAUGGAUUUGAGUAAGAGCAUAGCUGUUGGGACCCGAAAGAUGGUGAACUAUGCCUGAAUAGGGUGAAGCCAGAGGAAACUCUGGUGGAGGCUCGUAGCGGUUCUGACGUGCAAAUCGA
rnacentral:rRNA from 1 species